rnacentral:rRNA from 1 species
CCUACGGGUGGCAGCAGUGAGGAAUAUUGGUCAAUGGACGCAAGUCUGAACCAGCCAUGCCGCGUGCAGGAAGACGGCUCUAUGAGUUGUAAACUGCUUUUGUACGAGGGCAAACGCAGAUACGCGUAUCUCUCUGAAAGUAUCGUACGAAUUAGGAUCGGCUAACGCCGUGCCUGCAGCCGCGGCAAUCCGGAGGAUUCAAGCGUUGUCCGGAUUCAUUGGGUGUAAAGGGUGCGUAGGCGGUCGGAUAAGUUAGAGGUGAAAGCCCGAGGCUCAACUUCGGAAUUGCAUCUGAUACUGUUCGACUAGAGAGAAGGUGCGGUAGGCGGAAUGCAUGGUGUAGCAGUGAAAUGCGUAGAGAUC